UACGUAGGGUGCGAGCGUUGUCCGGAAUUAUUGGGCGUAAAGGGCUCGUAGGCGGUUUGUCACGUCGGGAGUGAAAACUCGGGGCUUAACCCCGAGCCUGCUUCCGAUACGGGCAGACUAGAGGUAUGCAGGGGAGAACGGAAUUCCUGGUGUAGCGGUGAAAUGCGCAGAUAUCAGGAGGAACACCGGUGGCGAAGGCGGUUCUCUGGGCAGUAACUGACGCUGAGGAGCGAAAGCAUGGGGAGCGAACAGG
rnacentral:rRNA from 1 species